UAGGGAAUCUUCCGCAAUGGGCGAAAGCCUGACGGAGCAACGCCGCGUGAGUGAUGAAGGUCUUCGGAUCGUAAAACUCUGUUAUUAGGGAAGAACAUAUGUGUAAGUAACUGUGCACAUCUUGACGGUACCUAAUCAGAAAGCCACGGCUAACUACAUGCCAGCAGCCGCGGUAAUACGUAGGUGGCAAGCGUUAUCCGGAAUUAUUGGGCGUAAAGCGCGCGUAGGCGGUUUUUUAAGUCUGAUGUGAAAGCCCACGGCUCAACCGUGGAGGGUCAUUGGAAACUGGAAAACUUGAGUGCAGAAGAGGAAAGUGGAAUUCCAUGUGUAGCGGUGAAAUGCGCAGAGAUAUGGAGGAACACCAGUGGCGAAGGCGACUUUCUGGUCUGUAACUGACGCUGAUGUGCGAAAGCGUGGGGAUCAAACAGGAUUAGAUACCCUGGUAGUCCACGCCGUAAACGAUGAGUGCUAAGUGUUAGGGGGUUUCCGCCCCUUAGUGCUGCAGCUAACGCAUUAAGCACUCCGCCUGGGGAGUACGACCGCAAGGGUUG
rnacentral:rRNA from 1 species